GACAGAGGUGCCGAGCGUUAGGCGGAAUCACUGGGCUUAAAGCGUGUGUAGGCGGGUCGUUAAGUGUCUUGUGAAAUCCCACCGCUCAACGGUGGAACUGCUGGGCAUACUGGCGAUCUUGAGCCACCUAGGGGCAGACGGAACAAGCGGUGGAGCGGUGAAAUGCGUAGAUAUCGCUUGGAACGCCGACGGUGAAAACAGUCUGCUGGGGGUGUGCUGACGCUGAGACACGAAAGCCAGGGGAGCGAACGGGG
rnacentral:rRNA from 1 species